AUUGAACGCUGGCGGCAUGCCUUACGCAUGCAAGUCGAACGGCAGCACGGGAGCAAUCCUGGUGGCGAGUGGCGAACGGGUGAGUAAAGUAUCGGAACGUGCCCAGUCGUGGGGGAUAACGUAGCGAAAGUUACGCUAAUACCGCAUACGAUCUAUGGAUGAAAGCGGGGGAUCGGAAGAACUCGCGCGAUUGGAGCGGCCGAUAUCAGAUUAGGUAGUUGGUGGGGUAAAGGCCCACCAAGCCGACGAUCUGUAGCUGGUCUGAGAGGACGACCAGCCACACUGGGACUGAGACACGGCCCAGACUCCUACGGGAGGCAGCAGUGGGGAAUUUUGGACAAUGGGCGAAAGCCUGAUCCAGCCAUGCCGCGUGCAGGAUGAAGGCCUUCGGGUUGUAAACUGCUUUUGUACGGAACGAAAAGGACUGCCCUAAUACGGUGGUCCCAUGACGGUACCGUAAGAAUAAGCACCGGCUAACUACGUGCCAGCCGCCGCCGUAACAC
rnacentral:rRNA from 1 species